rnacentral:rRNA from 1 species
ACACUCCUGCGGGAGGCAGCAGUGGGGAAUAUUGCACAAUGGGCGCAAGCCUGAUGCAGCCAUGCCGCGUGUAUGAAGAAGGCCUUCGGGUUGUAAAGUACUUUCAGCGGGGAGGAAGGCGAUAAGGUUAAUAACCUUGUUGAUUGACGUUACCCGCAGAAGAAGCACCGGCUAACUCCGUGCCAGCAGCCGCGGUAAUACGGAGGGUGCAAGCGUUAAUCGGAAUUACUGGGCGUAAAGCGCACGCAGGCGGUCUGUCAAGUCGGAUGUGAAAUCCCCGGGCUCAACCUGGGAACUGCAUUCGAAACUGGCAGGCUAGAGUCUUGUAGAGGGGGGUAGAAUUCCAGGUGUAGCGGUGAAAUGCGUAGAGAUCUGGAGGAAUACCGGUGGCGAAGGCGGCCCCCUGGACAAAGACUGACGCUCAGGUGCGAAAGCGUGGGGAGCAAACAGGAUUAGAAACCCCAGUAGUCCC